rnacentral:rRNA from 1 species
UACGUAGGGUCCGAGCGUUGUCCGGAGUUACUGGGCGUAAAGCGCGCGCAGGCGGCCCGCGAGGUGUCACGUGAAAGCCCCGGGCUCAACUCGGGAGGGUCGUGGCAAACCGGCGGGCUUGAGGCCGGUAGAGGUGGGUGGAACUCCUGGUGGAGUGGUGAAAUGCGUAGAUAUCGUCAGGAACGCCGGUGGUGAAGACGGGUGACUGGGCUAGUUCUGACACUGAGGCACGAAAGCGUGGGGAGCGAACGGG